GCACUGAAAUAGCUCAGUCAGUCAAGCACAAGACUCUUAAUUUCAGGGCCGUGGGUUUGAUCCCCAUGUUGGGCA